rnacentral:tRNA from 1 species
GUCUUAGUAGUUUACAUAAAACAUUGGUCUUGUAAAUCAAAAAUAAAAAUUUCUUUUUCUAAGACU